UACGUAGGUGACAAGCGUUGUCCGGAUUUACUGGGCGUAAAGAGCGCGCAGGCGGUCGUUCAAGUCGAGUGUGAAAGCCCCCCGGCUCAACUGGGGAGGGUCACUCGAUACUGAUCGACUCGAAGGCAGGAGAGGGAAGUGGAAUUCCCGGUGUAGUGGUGAAAUGCGUAGAUAUCGGGAGGAACACCAGUGGCGAAGGCGACUUCCUGGCCUGUUCUUGACGCUGAGGCGCGAAAGCUAGGGGAGCAACAGGGG
rnacentral:rRNA from 1 species